GUCAGCUGACUGCUUUUAACCUGUCAGAGCUCCAACUGACGGUAUGAAUGGGUAUGACAACAAGGAAGUGUGUAAUCUCUGCCUUAGCUACACAUACAGAAGGGGCCGGACUGUGGGUGGCCAGGGACUCUUAUUUUGUGGCAUACUGCACAAACAUGGUGCAACACUGAAUGGAGGGACAGUGCCAGGGCACUUCAGGCACUACAACCAAUUCAAAGAGACAAAGUGGUUAUAGUGACUACAGUGUCCCUU
rnacentral:lncRNA from 1 species